GUUACAAAAGGCUGCAGGUGGGAGCAGGGCUCUGAGAGCUGCUUUCCCCAGCCUGGAGGAUGAGGACGGAUGGUGCUGGUGGUGUGGGGGCUGGAAGGAUGGGACUGAUGCCUGGGGGGUGGCUUGGAGGGAUUUGCAUGGGGACCUCACUUCAGCGUUAAUGGGAUUUGUGAGUUUGGAACAUAUCCUAAUGUGCUGCCUCCUUGGUAUCUCUUGUCUAAGUAAAACAAGUUUGAAUUUUUCAUCUUAAUUGCAGACCUGCGAUGUGGAAUAGGUAUUCUUGUACUGAAAAGCAUCCACUUUCAGAUCCGUUCUUUGGGGUAUGUAACGACAGAGGCGUGUCCCUGCUCUCUGCACGCUGUACGUGGGGGCCCGGCUGUGUCCCAGCAGCGCUUUGCAUUUCAUCGCUCACUUCAGCCUGCCAGAAAAUCCCCAAAUACGGGGUGUCUCAGGCAAGACCCCUGCAUGUACGAGCCCAAGCAUGGCGUUCAGCGAAGCAGUGUUGCUGCUCACUGCUCCUGGUCAGCCUGCGGCCUCCUGGGACACUUGGGCAAUUCCCUGUGCUGCCUGGGACCUGGCUUCCCCAUCCUUAAAAUUGGGUUUCUGGUGUGGGUUAUGGCUGUUACCCUCCAACUGUAGGAGAACUCUCUAAAGUUGCUACUGUAGUGGAAUAAAAAGUUAUCUCCAACCCUGCAGGGAUUUGGCAAAGAUGCUGGCACAAGAAUAGUUUGUAAUGAGCUUUAAGACAUACUAAUGAAGAGAAGUAUAAUUAUUAUUACCGAGUUCAAUUACAGCCCCUGGAUUACAAAUAUUCUCCCACAA